rnacentral:rRNA from 1 species
UGAGUAACGCGUGAGGAUUUGCCCUUAGGAGGGGAACAACAGUUGGAAACGACUGCUAAUGCCCCAUAUGCCGAGAGGUGAAAAGUUUUAUCGCCUGAGGAUGAACUCGCGUCUGAUUAGCUAGUUGGUGGGGUAAAGGCCCACCAAGGCGACGAUCAGUAGCUGGUCUAAGAGGAUGAUCAGCCACACUGGGACUGAGACACGGCCCAGACUCCUACGGGAGGCAGCAUUAGGACUUUUUUGCAUUGGGCGAAAGCUCCCGGAGUUUCGCCGCGUGAGGUCAGUGGCCUUCAGUAUGUAGCCU